UACGUAGGGUGCGAGCGUUGUCCGGAAUUAUUGGGCGUAAAGGGCUCGUAGGCGGUUUGUCGCGUCGGGAGUGAAAUCCACUGGCUUAACUGGUGGCUUGCUUUCGAUACGGGCAGACUGGAGGUAUGCAGGGGAGAACGGAAUUCCUGGUGUAGCGGUGAAAUGCGCAGAUAUCAGGAGGAACACCGGUGGCGAAGGCGGUUCUCUGGGCCAUAACUGACGCUGAGAAGCGAAAGCAUGGGGAGCGAACAGG
rnacentral:rRNA from 1 species